UACGGAGGGUGCAAGCGUUAUCCGGAUUUACUGGGCUUAAAGGGUGCGUAGGUGGGUAGGUAAGUCAGUUGUGAAAUCUUCAAGCUUAACUUGGAAACUGCCAUUGAUACUAUUUAUCUUGAAUACUUUGGAGGUAAGCGGAAUAUGUCAUGUAGCGGUGAAAUGCUUAGAUAUGACAUAGAACACCAAUUGCGAAGGCAGCUUACUACACAGUUAUUGACACUGAGGCACGAAAGCGUGGGGAUCAAACAGG
rnacentral:rRNA from 1 species